UUCAUCAGUGAAAAAGUCAGCCUCCAGAGCCAAUUCCUGAGGAAAGGAAUGCCAGCCCAGCCUCCUCCCCGCCAGCAGGCACAAGCCUUGGGGAGACUCCUGCACUCCUGUUCUGUAUACACCUCACUGGAGACCCUGCAGGAUGGAGGAGAAGACAGAGGAGAGGCCCGUGGAUGGGCUGACAGCCUUGACUCAGACGGCCUGGGUUCAGAUCCCAGCUCUGCCCUUGCCUAAAACCUGAACCACUACAUUCUUAUCUGUGUAACAGGAGCCAUUCCCACCUCCAUGAACCAUGAAGACUAAAUGGGACUUGGAUAUGA